rnacentral:lncRNA from 1 species
AAUUCUGGGUUUUCUAUUUGAAUCGGAGAUCUAUGUUUCUAUGAAGGAUUUCCACCCUUGUAAAUUUUUAUCUUUAUAAAUAAGAUUCGAGAACUAGUUUUUUGAGUAUCGUCAUCGCUAAUUGACAUCUUGUUUGCUAUUUUUUAUGUUUUUUAUUUUUGAAAAUUUUGCCAAUUAAUAUUACUUCAGUUUUGAGUUUUAGGUGGACCAUUAGGAUUUUCUAUGAAAAGUUGUAAUCGAUAUCUUUUCCACCUUUAUGAUUGUGAACUGAUUCUAUGACGUAGGACAAUUUAAGGAACUACCUUCGUUUCAGCCGAACUCUUUUUUCAGUUUUUAAUUUAGACUUUGUAUCUGCUAAGUACACUUCAACACUUCGCUAAUAUGACAUGUUGGACACUGAGAAGAGUAAUUUUAGCACUGUAUUUUUAAAUUUAAAUUGGAUGCUCAAGUUCGAGUUCUAUUUAGAGGAUUGCUUUUCAACCUGCUUUGGAAUGAGAUAGUAGAUUCAUGUGAAUGAUGAUCUAUGGGUUUUGGCUAUUAAACUCUGUUUCAUUGCGAUUUCAGGUAGUCCAAUGUUUCAUUGGAAUUUCAAGUAGUUCCAAUAUAUGGUUCAGUUAAGAAGAUUAUUCUUAGCCUCUUUUGCGUAGCACGACACAUUUGGCCUUCUAGUCAGGUUGGAGUCAUAAUUCUUUCAGAUUUUAUUUACAUCUUAUGUUUAAGUUUGCACUUUGAUUUGUAUAUUGUAGGCCAUUAUUCUUAUCUAGCAUUAGAUGGAAAGAGCUGGUGAAUUGUUCAUUUGAACAUUCGGUUGAGCUAACAUUCAUUGUCUUAUAGGCAAAAUGUGUGCUCUAGCAUAUCAUAUUCUUAAUAUACUCUUGCUAAAAUGGUCCUGAGCUAAUUUAAUAAAUAUAUUAAGCAUAAAUAUGAAUUUUCAGCCAAGAAAACUGUCCUAAGUUACUUUUGAAAUUUGAUAGCGAUUGUUAUUUAACUCUCUUCCUUGACAGAGAAAGAGACAUAAAGUUGUGGCA